GCCCCUGUGGUGUAGUCCGGCCAAUCAUAUUGCCCUCUCGAGGCAAUGACCCGAGUUCAAAAUUCAGUUGGAAAUGAAAGUCUCGGCAGGGGCA
rnacentral:tRNA from 1 species